GUAGCUGAUGGGAAACAGGUCAAUAUUCCUGUACCGAUGUGUAGUGCGAUGUGGGGACGGAGAAGGUUAACUCGGCCAACUGUUGGAUUAGUUGGUUCAAGCCUGUAGUCGUGCCUGGUAGGCAAAUCCGCCAGGCUUAGAUGAGGGGUGAUAACGAGGCAGCUUGCUGCCGAAGUGAGUGAUACCCUGCUUCCAGGAAAAGCCACUAAGCUUCAGCUACACACGACCGUACCGCAAACCGACACUGGUGCGCGAGAUGAGUAUUCUAAGGCGCUUGAGAGAACUCGGGAGAAGGAACUCGGCAAAUUGACACCGUAACUUCGGAAGAAGGUGUGCCGCAAGUCAGUGAAGUCCCUCGCGGAUGGAGCUAAAAGCGGUUGCAAAAAAUCGGUGGCUGCGACUGUUUAUUAAAAACACAGCACUCUGCAAAGACGAAAGUCGACGUAUAGGGUGUGACGCCUGCCCGGUGCUGGAAGAUUAAAUGAUGGGGUGCAAGCUCUUGAUUGAAGUCCCAGUAAACGGCGGCCGUAACUAUAACGGUCCUAAGGUAGCGAAACUCCUUGUCGGGUAAGUUCCGACCUGCACGAAUGGCGUAACGAUGGCCACACUGUCUCCUCCCGAGACUCAGCGAAGUUGAAAUGUUUGUGAUGAUGCAAUCUCCCCGCGGAAAGACGGAAAGACCCCAUGAACCUUUACUGUAGCUUUGUAUUGGACUUUGAACAGAUCUGUGUAGGAUAGGUGGGAGGCUUUGAAGUGUGGUCGCUAGAUCGCAUGGAGCCAACGUUGAAAUACCACCCUGGUGUGUUUGAGGUUCUAACCUAGGUCCAUCAUCUGGAUCGGGGACAGUGCAUGGUAGGCAGUUUGACUGGGGCGGUCUCCUCCCAAAGCGUAACGGAGGAGUUCGAAGGUACGCUAGUUACGGUCGGACAUCGUGACGAUAGUGCAAUGGCAUAAGCGUGCUUAACUGCGAGACUGACAAGUCGAGCAGAUGCGAAAGCAGGACAUAGUGAUCCGGUGGUCCUGUAUGGAAGGGCCAUCGCUCAACGGAUAAAAGGUACUCUGGGGAUAACAGGCUGAUACCGCCCAAGAGUUCAUAUCGACGGCGGUGUUUGGCACCUCGAUGUCGGCUCAUCUCAUCCUGGGGCUGUAGCCGGUCCCAAGGGUAUGGCUGUUCGCCAUUUAAAGAGGUACGUGAGCUGGGUUUAAGACGUCGUGAGACAGUUUGGUCCCUAUCUUCCGUGGGCGCUGCAGAUUUGAGAAAGCCUGCUCCUAGUACGAGAGGACCGGAGUGGACGAACCUCUGGUGUAUCGGUUGUCACGCCAGUGGCAUUGCCGAGUAGCUAAGUUCGGAAGAGAUAACCGCUGAAAGCAUCUAAGCGGGAAACUCGUUUCAAGAUGAGAUCUGCCGGGGCCUUGAGCCCCCUAAAGAGUCGUUCAAGACCAGGACGUUGAUAGGUCAGGUGUGGAAGCGCAGCAAUGCGUUAAGCUAACUGAUACUAAUUGCUCGUGCGGCUUGACCCU
rnacentral:rRNA from 1 species